GGGUGCUUAGCUCAGGUGGUAGAGCAGCUGACUCUUAAUCAGCGGGUCGUAGGUUCGAACCCUACAGCACCCACCA
rnacentral:tRNA from 1 species